CGGCAGUCGCUGACGUAAAUACGUUAGAGGAAAGUCCAUGCUCGCACAUUCUGCGAUGAAUGUAGUGUUUGUGCCAAUCUAAAAAAUAAGGUUGGGCAGUUCAUAAGAAUUGACGGCGGAGAGAAUACCUAAGGGCAACUAUGGUAGGAUCCCAUAAAGUGUCACAGUGACGAAGUUAAUGGGAAACCAUUAAGUGGAACGCGAUAAACCCCACAAGCGAGAAAUCCAAAAUUGGUAGGAGAACUUCCUGAGGUGAAAUGAAACUAGAUGGAGGCUACAUAGUAGAGAUAAAUGGCUGCCACUUUCACUAGAAAGUACAGAACAUGGCUUAU
rnacentral:RNase_P_RNA from 1 species